UACGUAGGGUGCAAGCGUUGUCCGGAUUUAUUGGGCGUAAAGAGCUCGUAGGCGGUUAGUCACGUCGGAUGUGAAAUCCCAGAGCUUAACUCUGGGCCUGCAUUCGAUACGGGCUGACUAGAGUGUUGUAGGGGAGACUGGAACUCCUGGUGUAGCGGUGAAAUGCGCAGAUAUCAGGAAGAACACCGGUGGCGAAGGCGGGUCUCUGGGCCGAUACUGACGCUGAGGAGCGAAAGCGUGGGGAGCGAUCAGG
rnacentral:rRNA from 1 species